rnacentral:rRNA from 1 species
GACGAACGCUGGCGGCGUGCUUAACACAUGCAAGUCGAACGGUGAAGCGCCUUCCUUUUUGGUGGGUGUGGAUGAGUGGCGAACGGGUGAGUAACACGUGAGUAACCUGCCCCCUUCUUCUGGAUAACCGCAUGAAAGUGUGGCUAACACGGGAUAUUCUGGGUCUGUCGCAUGAUGGGUCUGGGAAAGAUAUUGUUUCGGUGGGGGAUGGGCUCGCGGCCUAUCAGCUUGUUGGUGGGGUGAUGGCCUACCAAGGCGGUGACGGGUAGCCGGCCUGAGAGGGUGGACGGUCACACUGGGACUGAGACACGGCCCAGACUCCUACGGGAGGCAGCAGUGGGGAAUAUUGCACAAUGGGCGCAAGCCUGAUGCAGCGACGCCGCGUGAGGGAUGGAGGCCUUCGGGUUGUGAACCUCUUUCGCCAGUGAAGCAGGCCUGCCUCGUUUGUGGGUGGGUUGACGGUAGCUGGAUAAGAAGCGCCGGCUAACUACGU